UACGGCCAUAUCAUGUUGAAAACACCGGUUCCCGUACGAUCAUCAAAGUUAAUCAACUUCGAGUCUGGUCAGUAACGGGAUGGGUGACCGCUUGUGAUUUCCAUUUGCUGUAA